CAGUUUCAACUCCUUUUACCAUGUCGUAGCUCAGUCGAUUAAGGCAGCGUCUGGGAUGCUCUCGGACACAGGUUCGAAUCCUCGUCACGGCCCUUGGGGACUAGGUCAAGAGUAGACACUCACAGGUCAAGUCAAGAGUACACACUUACAGGUCAGGUCAAGAGUACACACUCACAGGUCAAGUCAAGAGUACACACUCACAGGUCACGUCAAGAGUACACACUUACAGGUCAGGUCAAGAGUAGACACUCACAGGUCAAGUCAAGAGUACACACUUACAGGUCAGGUCAAGAAUACACACUCACAGGUCAAGUCAAGAGUAUACACUCACAGGUCCAGGUCAAGAGUACACACUCACAGGACACGUCAAGAGUAUACACUCACAGGUCCAUGUCAAGAGUACACACUCACAGGUCCAUGUCAAGAGUACUUGCAGGUCAUAUCAAGUAAGUGAAUCCUAAGCAUCUCACUAGGCAAGUGUCACUGUAAAACUUGGUGUAUACACCAUACAUUAAUGUGUAUUACUGUCAUAUAUUAAAAUUAAUUAAAUCUACACUAUCGGAAAAAAAGGAAAUGCAGUGCCUGACAAUAAUCACUUGGUUAAUAAUACACGAGUUUGUAACACCA